rnacentral:rRNA from 1 species
CUUUCAACAACGGAUCUCUUGGUUCUGGCAUCGAUGAAGAACGCAGCGAAAUGCGAUACGUAGUGUGAAUUGCAGAAUUCAGUGAAUCAUCGAAUCUUUGAACGCACAUUGCGCCCUUUGGUAUUCCAAAGGGCAUGCCUGUUCGAGCGUCAUUUGU